GACGAACGCUGGCGGCGUGCCUAAUACAUGCAAGUCGAACGAGAGCGACCGGUGCUUGCACUGGUCAAUCUAGUGGCGAACGGGUGAGUAACACGUGGGUAACCUGCCCAUCAGAGGGGGAUAACAUCCGGAAACGGAUGCUAAAACCGCAUAGGUCUUCGAGCCGCAUGGCUCGAAGAGGAAAAGAGGCGCAAGCUUCUGCUGAUGGAUGGACCCGCGGUGCAUUAGCUAGUUGGUGAGGUAACGGCUCACCAAGGCCGUGAUGCAUAGCCGACCUGAGAGGGUGAUCGGCCACAUUGGGACUGAGACACGGCCCAAACUCCUACGGGAGGCAGCAGUAGGGAAUCUUCCGCAAUGGACGCAAGUCUGACGGAGCAACGCCGCGUGAGUGAAGAAGGUUUUCGGAUCGUAAAACUCUGUUGUUAGAGAAGAACAAGUGCUAGAGUAAC
rnacentral:rRNA from 1 species